AGAUCGGUGGCCCGGCGGGAUUCCCGGGAAGGCGGCGGCACCGGGAGCUGAGGGCUCGUGGCACCGGAGGCUUCGCCCGGCCGUGCGGGAUCCCGAGGCGGCGCUCUCGGGCGGAUUCUGUAGAGGACAAAAUGGACAUUUUAGGGCUAAAAUCUGAGUUCAUCUGUUGGGAAGACAAUGGACGUUUUGAGGUUCUAUGGUCGCCCCUGCAAAACCUUCCCCAUCCGCCCCUGACUGGAGUAGUUCAAAUGCAGACAAUCAUAUUGGUCAGGGAUCAGCCUCGACUUCAGGAAUUAUGACUAGUGAAGGACAAGCAUCCGGCAGGCCGAGGGGUUCCUAGUGCAGGGGAAGGAUGGACACAAACCGCAUUCCUUGCAUCCGCUGUGGAGAAUAUUGCACAGAGCAGGACUCCUGUUCCUACAGUUGUGGCAGCCCUUUGGAAAGUUGCCUUCUCUCUAACAACAGCUGAGGGAGAAACUUUUUUAUGAGACCAAGAGAAGGAAAGUGCAUGCAUUCUGGAUGUUUGAUUCCAUGGGCCAGUCUGUGGGGCUCGGCACCUUGAGGAAAAAGCAGAGCAGCAAAGAUCUCCUGCGAGAAGCACAGGUAUGCAGGAAACUCAGACAUUCCGUCUGACAGGGAUGACACAGCUUUUGAAAUACUCCUUCUCAGCAGAUACAGCAGUGAGAACCUGGAGCAGCUUCCCGUGGCGGCGAUGGCAAGAUGAAGGGCUGCUGCUGAGAGAUCAGAGCUGGCAGUGAAAUAAAGCUUGUGGGUCUCGAGCUGAAAUCACUGAGGGGCUGGGAUAGAGCUGGGGGCUAGAAUAUGGACUGGAUGCUUUGGUCAGGGACUGUUGGUUUUGAGUAGAAAUUAGUGUGGGAUUGGGAUUAUAUUUUGGAGCACUUUGGGGAGUCUAGUAAUUCUAUUGCCAGCCAUUGGAUGGAACUGGGAGUACUGGGUAGAAUCAGCUGUUCUAUGGAGAAGGCCCAGGUGUUAACAAUGAG